rnacentral:rRNA from 1 species
UACGGAGGGUGCAAGCGUUAUCCGGAUUCACUGGGUUUAAAGGGUGCGUAGGCGGGCAGGUAAGUCCGUGGUGAAAUCUCUGAGCUUAACUCAGAAACUGCCAUGGAUACUAUUUGUCUUGAAUGUUGUGGAGGUAAGCGGAAUAUGUCAUGUAGCGGUGAAAUGCUUAGAUAUCUGGAGGAACACCGGUGGCGAAGGCGGCAUCCUGGACCGAUAUUGACGCUGAUGCGCGAAAGCCAGGGGAGCAAACGGG